UUUUUAAUAGUGUAAUAUAACACUUUGUAAUUUCAUUACAAAAAUAAUUUUUAAUUUUAAAAUU
rnacentral:tRNA from 1 species